AUUGAACGCUGGCGGCAAGCCUAACACAUGCAAGUCGAACGAGUGGCGGACGGGUGAGCAAUGGCUGGGCAACUGCCUGAUGGAGGGGGCUAACUACGGGAACCGGUAGCUAAUACCGCUUACCACCCGAUGGGCCCAGGUGGGAUUAGCUAGUCGGGGGGGUAAAGGCUCACCUAGGCGACGAUCCCUAGCUGGUCUGAGAGGAUGACCAGCCACACUGGAACUGAGACACGGCCCAGACUCCUACGGGAGGCAGCAGUGGGGAAUAUUGCACAAUGGGCGCAAGCCUGAUGCAGCCAUGCCGCGUGUAUGAAGAAGGCCUUCGGGUUGUAAAGUACUUUCAGCGGGGAGGCGUUACCCGCAGAAGAAGCACCGGCUAACUCCGUGCCAGCCGCCGCGGUAAUUC
rnacentral:rRNA from 1 species